rnacentral:rRNA from 1 species
AUGAACGCUAGCUACAGGCUUAACACAUGCAAGUCGAGGGGCAGCAUUUUAGUUUGCUUGCAAACUAAAGAUGGCGACCGGCGCACGGGUGAGUAACACGUAUCCAACCUGCCGAUAACUCGGGGAUAGCCUUUCGAAAGAAAGAUUAAUAUCCGAUGGUAUAUUAAAACCGCAUGGUUUUACUAUUAAAGAAUUUCGGUUAUCGAUGGGGAUGCGUUCCAUUAGUUUGUUGGCGGGGUAACGGCCCACCAAGACUACGAUGGAUAGGGGUUCUGAGAGGAAGGUCCCCCACAUUGGAACUGAGACACGGUCCAAACUCCUACGGGAGGCAGCAGUGAGGAAUAUUGGUCAAUGGACGAGAGUCUGAACCAGCCAAGUAGCGUGAAGGAUGACUGCCCUAUGGGUUGUAAACUUCUUUUAUAUGGGAAUAAAGUAUUCCACGUGUGGGAUUUUGUAUGUACCAUAUGAAUAAGGAUCGGCUAACUCCGUGCCAGCAGCCGCGGUAAUACGGAGGAUCCGAGCGUUAUCCGGAUUUAUUGGGUUUAAAGGGAGCGUAGGUGGAUUGUUAAGUCAGUUGUGAAAGUUUGCGGCUCAACCGUAAAAUUGCAGUUGAAACUGGCAGUCUUGAGUACAGUAGAGGUGGGCGGAAUUCGUGGUGUAGCGGUGAAAUGCUUAGAUAUCACGAAGAACUCCGAUUGCGAAGGCAGCUCACUAGACUGCAACUGACACUGAUGCUCGAAAGUGUGGGUAUCAAACAGGAUUAGAUACCCUGGUAGUCCACACAGUAAACGAUGAAUACUCGCUGUUUGCGAUAUACAGUAAGCGGCCAAGCGAAAGCAUUAAGUAUUCCACCUGGGGAGUACGCCGGCAACGGUGAAACUCAAAGGAAUUGACGGGGGCCCGCACAAGCGGAGGAACAUGUGGUUUAAUUCGAUGAUACGCGAGGAACCUUACCCGGGCUUAAAUUGCAGAUGAAUUACGGUGAAAGCCGUAAGCCGCAAGGCAUCUGUGAAGGUGCUGCAUGGUUGUCGUCAGCUCGUGCCGUGAGGUGUCGGCUUAAGUGCCAUAACGAGCGCAACCCUUAUCUUUAGUUACUAACAGGUCAUGCUGAGGACUCUAGAGAGACUGCCGUCGUAAGAUGUGAGGAAGGUGGGGAUGACGUCAAAUCAGCACGGCCCUUACGUCCGGGGCUACACACGUGUUACAAUGGGGGGUACAGAAGGCAGCUACCUGGUGACAGGAUGCUAAUCCCAAAAACCUCUCUCAGUUCGGAUCGAAGUCUGCAACCCGACUUCGUGAAGCUGGAUUCGCUAGUAAUCGCGCAUCAGCCAUGGCGCGGUGAAUACGUUCCCGGGCCUUGUACACACCGCCCGUCACACCAUGAGAGUUGGGGAUACCCGAAGCCUGUGAGCCAACAGUUUACUGAGGCAGCAGUCGAAGGUAGAAUCGAUGAUUGGGGUG